CUGGAAUUUGGAAGAUUUUUCUGGUGGUUGUGUGAGGAAAACCCCGCUGCAGUGUGAAAAUAAUAGCCUUGCCAAUGGAAAAAGCGACCAAUUUUUCCAGUACAUUAACAUGAAUUUGCCUAAACAUCCACAAUCUGUGACAGUAGGGGGUAUCAGGGAAUGUGAAACACACUGCUUGAAUAACUGCUCUUGCACUGCUUAUGCUUACAAAGACAACGCUUGCUCGAUUUGGGUAGGAAGUUUCGUGGGUCUGCAACAGCUACAAGGAGGUGGAGAUACCAUUUACAUCAAGCUUGCAGCUUCUGAGUUCGAGAGUCCCAAGAACAACAAGGGAGUAGUCAUUGGCGGUGUUGUGGGCUCAGUGGCUGUCGUAGCUCUUAUUGGCCUGAUCAUGCUUGUCUACUUGAGAAGGAGAAAGACAGCAACUGUAACAACCAAAACUGUGGAGGGUUCUUUGGUGGCAUUUGCAUACAAGGAUUUGCAAACUGCCACAAAGAAUUUCUCUGAAAAGCUGGGGGGAGGAGGUUUUGGUUCAGUUUUCAAAGGGGUGUUGCCGAAUUCAAGUCUCAUAGCUGUGAAGAAGCUUGAAAGCUGGAGCCAAGGAGAGAAGCAAUUUCGCACUGAAGUCAGUACCAUAGGGAAUAUCCAACAUGUCAAUCUGGUUCGGCUUCUGGGUUUCUGCUCUGAAGGUACUAGUAGGUUGUUGGUCUACGAUUUCAUGCCAAACGGUUCUUUAGACUCUCAUCUCUUCACUGAAAAAGAUUCAGACUUUCUUGAUUGGAAAACAAGAUACCAAAUUGCACUGGGGACAGCCAGAGGUUUGGCUUAUCUUCAUGAGAAGUGCAGAGACUGCAUCAUACACUGUGACAUAAAGCCAGAGAACAUUCUGUUAGACGCUGAAUUUUGUCCCAAAGUGUCGGAUUUUGGGCUGGCAAAGCUUGUUGGGAGGGAGUUCAGCCGUGUCCUAACAACCAUGAGAGGAACAAGAGGUUACCUUGCACCUGAAUGGAUUUCAGGAGUGGCCAUAACAGCCAAAGCGGAUGUCUACAGCUAUGGAAUGAUGCUGUUUGAAUUUGUAUCAGGAAGGAGGAACUCCCACGAAUCUGAAGAUGGUAAAGUGAAGUUCUUCCCAUCUUGGGCUGCUAAACAAAUAGUUGAAGGCAGCAAUCUCAUUAGCCUAUUAGACCCAAGACUGGAGGGCAACGCUGACGAAGAAGAGCUUGCAAGACUUUGCAAUGUGGCUUGUUGGUGCAUCCAAGAUGAUGAGACUCACAGGCCAUCAAUGGGUCAAGUAGUUCAAAUUCUUGAGGGAGUUUUGGACGUGACACUGCCUCCAAUUCCCAGAGCUCUCCAAGUAAUGGUCGAUGACCAUGAGCACGUAGUCUUCUUCACUGAAUCAUCCUCAUCUCAGAGUUCCCUGUCAAAGAGCAACAAUUCAACUGCUUCAGCUCAAGCAAAGAGCACCACAUUAUCAAGAAGUUCUUAAAUCGAUGUGAAGAAAAUAUUUUAACAUUUGUGUUUAAGAAUAUAUAUUUGGAUUAUUUCACUUGUAACAACCUGUAUGCAUAUUUGGAUAGAAGCCUUGCUUCGUAGUGUAUAAUAAUAAUGCCCCCUGCCAAAGCAAUUUUAAGAAUCACAAGCCUUGUGCCUCGCUGUUUUCUCUAAUGAACUCUGAUUGAUCUAUGCUCCUCUGCAUUGACUAUUGGCCUCACCUAAUCGCUUCAACUGGCAAAAUUAGGUAUUGAAAUGAAAGCGACUUGGAACAAAUAACAUAAACAAAUAACAUGGGUCAAACAGCAAAAACAAUCAAACAAACAAACAUAAACGUGACGUUGUAACAAAUAACAUGGGUCAAGAUAUAAAUCAACUGACCAACAUUGUUGAAUUGUCGAUAUUUUUAUUGACUUCAAUUGACUAACAACUUUCCUUCUUUUCUUGAAGGAUGGCUUUGGCGGCGUUUCUUGAAGGAUGGCUUGGACCUCUCGUUGAUUCGCGUCCUCGAUAUUGGUUCGUGGCUUUCGAUCUUCCUGAUCUCGCCGUCUUCCGAAGAGAAGACGUUUGUCGAAGUUAUCGCAAUCGACGCUCACCAUUGUCCUGGUAAGUCACGGUUAAGCUAACAGUAACGAUAACGGCAUUGAUAAUUGUUUGGACGGGAUAUUAUCAUUUUCCCACCGACGGUAUUCUGACACAUCAUGUCAGUACUAUGGUUUAGUAAAACUAUUAAUUUAUCACCAAAUAUUAAAACUGUUAGCAUUUUCUCACCAUUCCGUUAAAACUCAGUUAAUAUGUAAUGAAAAAUUUUUAAAAGGUCAAUUUUACCCCUGGAGCAUAAAAGACCAUGUAAUUAACCUUUUAUGAAUUUUGUAAUUAAAUCAUCAUUUAUUGUUCUUCCUUCUUAAAGGACAAAAAUUACCCUUUAUGAAUUUUGUAAAAUUGACCGUGUGGUGUUAGGUAAUUCAUAAAUUGAUUUAAUUUAUUUAAUUUUUAAAGGGCAAAUUUAUUUAUUUAAUUUUUUGUGUAAAAUUAUUAUCAUCAUAUCAAAGAUUAAAUUGCUUCUUUUGCACUUUUUUUUUCAAAUUUAUUUAUUUAAUUUUUUGUGUAAAAUUAUUAUCAUCAUAUCAAAGAUUAAAUUAAAUUGCUUCUUUUGCACUUUUUUUUUUUUUGCCCUUUCAUAAAUUGAGUUUUAGUAGUAUAAUAAAUUGUCUUUAGCUCGUCAAUUUAAUAAAUAAAUUUGCCCUUUAAAAAUUAAAUCAAUUUAUGAAGUACCUAGCACCACACGGUCAAUUUUACAAAAUUUAUAAAGGGUAAUUUUUGUCCUUUAAGAAGGAAGAACAACAAAUGAUGAUUUAAUUACAAAAUUCAUAAAAGGUUAAUUACAUAGUCUUUUACGCUCCAGGGGUAAAAUUGACAUUUUAUGAAUUUUCUGUUACAUAUUAAUUGAGUUUUAACGGAAUGGUGGGAAAAUGCUAACAGUUUAAACGUUUGGUGGUAAAUUGAUAGUUUUACCAAACCAUGGUACUGACAUGAUGUGUCAGAAUACCUUUAGUGGGAAAAUGAUAAUAUCCCUUGUUUGGACACUAAUAGUUUAUUUUAUUACUUGUUUUAAUUCAUUUCUUCUUAGCAUUAGUUUUUUUUAUUUCAAUUAUAAAUUAAUGUUAAAUUAUAGUUAAGACUGUCUUAAACUACUAUAAAUAAAUAGUUUUAAUUAUAUUUUUGAGGGAGUAAUAAUAUAAUUAAUUCUAUUUUAUGUUAAUUCUUCUCUCUUCCAUUUAAAUUCUUAAAUUCUUUAUUUAUUUCUCUCUUAAUUCUCUAAUCAAACCCUUAAAAUUCUACCAUCUGGUAUUAGAGCACAUCCUUCCUGCCACAAUUUUUAUUUUUCCAUUCACUUUUGCCAAUAUCUCUUGGCUUUCGACUGGAGAUUUAAACCGGACCCACCCUCUAAACUUUUUCCAACAUCUAAACUUUUUUAACCGAACCUGAAUUUUCUUGAGAGUUUUUUUGAGGCAUCAUGAUUUUUAAGGAGCUUGAAGGCAAAGUUCAACAGUUGUCUCAACAGUUUCAUGACAAAGUUACAACCAUCGAUGAAAAGGUUACGACCUUCGGCAAGCAAAAUAACGAUCUGCAGAAACUCAUGAAACAUCUUUCAGCAAUUGAGCCAGUUGCGAAAAGGAAAACAACCAACUACUGAUCAAAGACAAGUUGAUAUAUUUACUGGAGGGACCUUUGCUCCUCAAAUGGUAAUUGCUGCCCAACCACCUAUUGAACCUGGCGAACGCAUUGGAAGUACUCUCAUGCAAGCUUGUAACAUAUGACUUGACUUUCCUAUUUUUCAUGGUGACAAUCCAACGGGAUGGAUUUUUCGAUAUGAGCAAUGUCGUCGCCUUACUGGAUUAUCAGAUGUUGACUUAUUGUCCUUAGCUAUUGGCCAUCUUGAUGGUGAUACUGUACCUUGCAACUAGGGAUGGCAAAAUAACCCGGACCCGGACGAACCCGGAUAAUUCGGGCCGGGUUGAACCCGUAUCGGAGAGUAAAAAAAGCCGGAUCCGAAAUGGGUUUUAAUAACCCGGAUGAAUCCGGGUCCGGGUUUGGGGUAACCCGUGUAUCCGGAACUCGAACCCGGAUUCAUUUUUUAUAUUAUUUUUAAUUAUAUUUAUUAGUAAAUAUAAAUACAAAUAUUAAAAAAAAACCUAAUUCUAUUUCACAAGUCAAAGGCGUCAAACACACAAAUCGCGAUUUACACAAACAAGACAAACCCUAGCUGUGCCGCCGCUGCCGCCUUCCGCCUUCCGCUGUCCCGCAAGCAAGUCAAACAACUCUCGGCUAGGUUCGCCACCGUCGCAAGGUCGGUUCGCUGUCGUCGCAAGGUUGGGUUCGCGGUUCGUCGCAGCUUGUUUGGUUCACCAGAAUCACCACCGUCGCAUGCUUGCAGCAGUGCAGUUCCUCAAUUCGUUUGAUUCACCGGCGUGAGUAGCUGUUAUACUCUGUUUUAUGUGAUUUGUGCUAUGUGAUUUGUGAUAUUGAUUUGUGUUGUGUUAUACUGUUGUGAACACCACUGAUUUAUGUGAUUUGUGCUAUGUGAUUUGUGAUAUUGAUUUGUGUUGUGUUAUACACUUAUAUUGCCGUGAACACCACUAAUUUAUGCUUGAAAUGUUGUUGAUUGUUGGUGUUAAUAGAUUCGAAAUUGUAUAUUUCAAAUGUUAGAAAGCUGUUACAGUUAAAAAUAAAUUGUUGUUGUUAAUGGAUUUGUUGCUGUUAAUAGAUUCAAAAUUGUAUAAUUCAAAUGUUAGAAAGCUGUUACAGUUAAAAAUAAAUUGUUGUUGUUAAUGGAUUUGUUGCUGUUAAUAGAUUCGAAAAUGUAUUUUUGAAAUGUUAGAACUUAGAACAUUGUUACAGACUUACAGUAAAAAAAAUAAAUAUAAAAUGGAAGAAAUUGGAGGAAUGAUUGGUUAGUUUAAUUUGUUUUGACAUAAUUCUUGUAGGGUGUUAAAUUCAUAAUGGAAAAUGAACAAAGGUAUGGAAAAUUUAUUUAUUACAUAAAAUAAAUUAAUUUGUUAUAGUAUCAAUUUAUUACUAACUAACUGUUUUGUUCUUAUUUUUAUGAUUUAUUCAUGUUUUUUAGAUGGAAUUCCAGAGGAAGCAAUACUUUCUGCAGAACAGCUUAUUGAUGAAAGUUUGAUGAGUGAGUUGUGAACAACGAUGAGUCAAGUGAAGAAGAAUAGAAAAUGAUGGAGAAAAGUUUAAACUUUGGAUUUGUGGUUUUUAAUUUGAACUUUGAAUUGUAGACUUGUGUAAUUGUGUUAUGGAUUUAUAUUUGUGGCUGUUUUAUUACUUGAAACAGCCGUUUGAAUUGUAGAGUUUGCAAACUAGCUGUUUGAAUUGUAGAGUUUGCAGAGAGUUGAUUAAUUGUGAUUUGUGAGCACUGGACUAUUAUGCCAUAAUUGUGAUUUGUUGUUUAAGUCUUAAUUAUUAAGUGCUGGGAUGGCCUUUGAAACAUUGAGAAUUUGAGAUAUUGUGAUUUCUGAAGAGUGAUUGCUUCUGUCAAUGUUUAGGAGUUAGUUUAAAGCUUGUUGGUCAUCGUGCAAAGUAUGGAUUGUAUGGUUAUCUUGAUGAUGUUGGUGGUAGACAAUUAUAUAGGUUUAGAAACUUCAUGUGGUAGAGAAAAGCUUGGGGACAUUCUCCAAUCCUCUAAGCUAUGUUGCAGGGGCUGUUUGUCCAGUUUUGACCUCAUCUUUUUGUUUUUGUUAAUAUUUCCUUUAGUUACAUUAGUUGUGUUUUGGUUCUAUCACUAACAAUGAAAGUGAAAUUUGAAAUUUCAUUAUUGAUCCGGGUUCAAAACCCGGAAUCUGAGAACUCGGAUUUUUCCGGGUUGAACCCGGACCCGGAUGGAAAAAAUCGGGUUUUAAUCUGGGUCCGGGAGAAAGAAAAUGACAUCCGGGUCCGGAACCGAGAAGGCUAAACCCGGACCCGGAUUUUGCCAUCCCUAACCUUGGUUUAAUUGGAUAGAGCAAAUUAUGGGCGAAAUGACUUGGGCGCAAUUUAAACGGGCUUUGACUACUCGAUUUGGGACAUUAAAAGCGAAUAAUGCAGUUGGCAGUCUUACCAAACUACGUCAAAUACGGACCGUUCUUGACUAUCAACGACAAUUUGAAAAGUUGGCUGAUCAGACUAGCAAUUUAACUGAGUCUUUCUUUAUUAGUUGUUUCCUCUAUGGGUUGCGUGAAGAUAUCAAGGCUGGCGUACAACUGUUCAAACCUGUUAGUCUCGUACAAAUUUUUGAACUUACUAGGUUUAGUAAAAGACAAUUACUUUGCAAGGCAAUCGUUUCCAUAUUCCUGCCAUCCAAGAUCUAGUCCCACAAUUACAAUCGACUCCUAUUCCACCAGCACCCUCUUUAUUAGGACCAAUUUCCUCUACCUUACCUAAUAAUGUCAAACGUUUAUCUUCAGCUGAGCAGACAGAAAGACGUUUUGAAGGGCUUUGUUUCAACUCUGACGAGUAAUUCAAGCCUAAACAUCGUUGCAAACAAUCUCAACUAUUGCUUUUAGACGCUGAUAUACUUCUUCACAACCCUCCAAAACCGCUUGACCAUCAUUCGGAUUGGAAGAUCUCGGUUAUUGUGACUGGGUAAAAGGCUUGCAGACAAGCCUGUUUUAAGAGGCAGGGAAUGUUAGGACCCUAAUAAUUUAUUUUAUUGCUUGUUUUAAUUUCUUUCCUAUUAGUAUUAGGUUUUCUUAUUUCAAUUAUGAAUUAAUGUUCUUAUUAAAUUAAAAUUAGGACCGUCUUGAACUACUAUAAAUAAUUGGUUCUUAUUAUAUUAUUGAGUGAGCAAUAAUAAAAUUAAUUCUAAUCUCAAUUAAUUCUUCUCUCUUCCCUCUGAAUUCUUAAACUUUUCAUCUAUUUCUCUCUUAAUUCUCUAAUCAAAACCUCAGAAUGUUGGAGAAGACGAUUUACACACAUACAAGAUAAUAAAGGCAUUUAAAUCACCUAAUUAAGUUGUAUAGGGAUAAAUAAUUAAAUUACAAAAAGCUCGACAUAUACUGAAAAAUAAAAAAGAAAUUGAACAAAGUCAUAAAUUUAUUGACAUCUACAUUCUGAAAAUUAGUGUGUGUCUUCAGUAGGGAAAGUUAUCAUUUGCAUACGGUUAUUUUUAUUGAUAUUUUUUUUUAUAUUAAUCACGAGGUAUCCUGGGGAGGGCCCCAACUGUGGGAGACACCUUUAAGCCCGUACCACAACCCAGACUAGAAGUCCCCGCUCGAACCGGGAGGCAUAGUUCUCCCAACAAAGGUUUUUUUUUAUUGAUAUUAAAUACCUCUAUUUUAUGUUCAAUUGGAAGGAAUUCUAGGCUGUUCAGUUUUCUACUUACGGAACUAUCACGAUCGUUGUUAUUGAGAAAAUUGUGGCAAUUUUUUUGAUUGAUCAUGAUGAUUUUCUUACGUGGCAGGCUCGGUGAUGCUGUUAUUUCGCGGAGCAUUUCGAUGCCUGCUCUAUACUGGUAAUUUUCGCUGGGAAGCAAGUAAUGAGAGGGCCGAGAUAGGAAGGAACACGCUCGUCAAAGCUUUAAAAGAUGAUGUAGUAUAACACAUUGCAAUCCAUCAUAUGCUUUUCCUUCACAACUAGUUGCAGCUCAACAGGUACACUUUUUAAAUUUCUCAUCUACGUUAUCUUUACUUUUUUUUUGUUAAUUUAAAACCCCCAGGAUGGUGGGGGGCUUAGGCAGGAUCCCUACUUAUAAUAUAAAUCCGAAAAUGGUACAAGUACAAAGGAGGGGGACAACGACUAAUAUCUCCUAGAAAAAUUGAAAGGAAAAGAUAAAAGAACUAAAAGAAGACAAAUGGACGACAGAAACGCAGCGCCCACUGCCGUUUCACGAGUUUCCUUUGUCUUCUUUUAGUUCCGCGUGGGACCAUAAUAAAUAAUAAAAUAAAGAAUCCUAACAUAUAUAAAACACAUUUAGAAAUUGUCAUAAUUUAUUCCAUUAUUUCCAGCCAUUUAAAUUAAGAAAAAUCCUAACAUAUAUAAAACACAUUCAAAAAUUGUUAUAAUUUAUUCCAUUAUUUCCAGCCAUUUAAAUUAAAAAAAAUCCUAACAUAUAUAAAACACAUUCAGAAAUCGUUAUAAUUUAUUCCAUUAUUUCCACCCAUUUAAAUUAAAAAAAUCAUAACAAUUUAAAUAUAUAAAAAAACAAAAAUCUACGAAUUUUUACAAUUUAAAUUAAAUAUUCUAACCAUUUAAAUAUAUAGAGCACAACAAAAAUUUUAUUUGAAUGUAAUGAGAGUCACCAACUUACCAAUUAAUCAGUACCAAUUUUAUCAAGUUGCCUCUGUUUGCAGAUCCAGAUAUAACUUCUUCCUUGUGAUAAGCGAGAUGCAAAGAGGGAACCGAUUUUUCCUUGUUAAAUGUAGAUGACUCACGUUAAAUGAGAGGUGAGAGAUGGAGAGAGAGAAGACAACAAGAAAAAUCGGAACUAAAAAAGUGCUGCUAUUGUCAUCUCUUUUCGUUACUUUUGUGGUUUUUUUUAUUAUUUUAAUAUUUUUUUAUUAUUUUAUUUUUUAAAUAAAAAAAUAACUGACAAAGGAUGAUGAAUGGAGUUGAAGCAACAGACAAAGAGACCCACGUUUUUGUCGUUCCUUUAUCGUCAAAGAGUUCAAAUAGCAGAACUCAAAUUGAAAAACAAGUAUAACAUAGGCGAAAAGGAAUAAAAGAAAAGUCAAGCUAGCGCCUGAUAUGCGGAACUGCAUACGCGUCUAGAUGGAGAAUUAGGGAUGGCAAACAGCGGGCCUGGGCCAGGCUUUUUCAAGCCCAUGUCUAGGCCCUUUGUUAGCUAAGUGUACGGGCUUGGGUCGGGCCAGCCCCAUGGCGGGCCUGGGCUGGGCUUGAGCUUUAUUUAUUUAUUUUAAAUUUGUUAAAUUAUUGUAAAUUUGAAAUAAAUUAAUGAUCAAUAAGUUAUUACAAUCAUAGAUAAAUUAAAGAAAAUGAAUAUUUCAAAUUAAAAUAAUAAAUAAAGCAAAUAAAAACUCAUAACUUUAAUUUUCUUUAAUACUGAUUUUUUAAUUCAAACGCUCUUUUAAUUAAUUGACACAAAAGAAAAAAUUUAGUAUCAUUAUUUUGGUUUUGGGUAAAAGCUCGUUUAGUCCCUAUAUUUUGAGUUUAGUGUUCGUUUAGUCCCUAUAUUUUUAAAAAUACCUUAAAGCAUCCCUAUCAUUAAAUUAUUGACAUCCUUGCCAUUACCUUUUGUUCAUUUUAACUUAUUUUUACAAUAUUAUCCUAUUACAAUAAUGUUCCUUUUUUUAAACAUUAUUAAAAAGAAAAUUUAAAUUACCAGUUUAACACCAAAAAAUAAAAUAAAAACAAUAUAUAUAUUAAUUUUUGUGGAACACUCUGCUGAGAAGUUAAAAUAUUAAUUUUUUUUAAAAUUGAUAAUUUAAUUUUUUACAAAAUUAAUUUUUUUUGGACACACAUGAGCUUCCAGAAAAAUUAAUAUAUAUCUUUUUUGUUUUUUAUUUUAUUUUUGGGUUUAAUUUGAUAAUCCGAUUUUUUUUAUUAAUAUCUAAAAAAGAAAUAUUACUGUAAGAGUGUAAAAUUGUAAAAUCAUGCUAAAAAAAUAAAAAAUAAUGGCAUAAGUGUCAAUAUUUAAUAGUAAGGACGUUUUGAGGUAUUCUUAAAAAUAUAGGGAUUAAAUGGGCACUAAGCUCAUAAUAUAGGGACUAAACAAGCUUUUACCCUUUAGUUUUUUUAAUCAUAAUUGAUUUAUAAGUUAAGAAUUUAAAUUUUUUAAACUUUUAAAUUACUUUUUAAUUUUAAUUAUAUUAUUUUAAUUUAUAAAAUUAUUUUUUUAAAAAAUAAUGGACUUAAACUUUAUCCGGGCUUUUCUUGAGCCCUUACCCAGUUCUUCAUGGGUGAGGGAGGGCCUGGGCUAGACCCGAACGGACUUGGGCCGGCCCAGAUUUUUUUACCAUCCCUACGGAGAAUGCUGUGAAAACCAGCAGGAUUGUCCCUGGGGCUCAUAAACCGACAAUGCACCUUAUGAGUACAAACCCAAUUGGCUGGAAAAUCAGUAGCAGAAGUAGCCUCCCAAAAUACACGACGGACCAAGAUAUUAGUUGAAGAAGCCAUACUACGGACACGUCGCAAAAGGUAUAUGUAAUCCCACGACACCUGGCAAUCGGACCGAAUCCAUGCGCCUAUGGUAGCAGAGUCCGAUUCUACCUGCAAUAUAGAAUGGCCGAGGUGAGCUGCAAGCUCUAAGCUCUCAUGAACAGCCAUAAGCUCUAUGUAAAGGAUCGGACGAUAACCUAGGAAUGAUCCAAAAGUGCCUAAGAGCUCUCCCCAAGAGUCACGUAAAAUGCCCCCUGAAGCAGCCAUCCCUGGGUUUCCCCUAGAGCAUCCAUCCACUGUCAACUUCACCACCCCCGGAGGUGGUCGAAUCCAAGAAAUCAGCCGAAGUGGUCUCCUAUGCCGUGUAACAACACGCCAUCCCUCCACUAAUCUACUAUCCAGGACGCCGCGCAGUUGGGAUGUUUUAAAACCGAAAGCAAAGCUGGCCAGCUUAAGAUCUGAAACUACUCGAAAAAUGACCGCAUCUACUGAAAAUGCCACUGAAUCAAAUCUGUAAGCAUUUCGGGCCUUCCACACGUGCCAGAGGAUGAAACAAGGAAGGAGAACUCGAAUAUGGUUCCGGGAAGGAGCACAUCGCCUCCAGUGGCGAAGCAGCGCAUGAGGGGAGCGUUAUCUUUACUUGAUUUGCAAUGAGGUAAAGAAGUCAAUUGGGUAAUUUUUUUCUGUGAGAGUGAAUUGCGGCAAACGUGAGCAAAUUUUGCAUCAUUGUGCAUUUUGUUGUAGAAUGAGGAGAGCCAAUUUUCCUGACUAUCUAGACGAGUCUUUAGUUGAAUCUCUCCAUGGCCAUAAGUGGCCGGCAUAGACCAAAUCCUGAAACUGGUCAUGGUCCAAUAUGCAGACCACUCUGACUAUGGUCAAGACACUGGAAAAUGGUGAACGUUGACUAAGUUUUGAAAGUUAUCAAAAUUUAAUAAUAUCAUGUUUCUGAUUUCUAAUCAUGUUUUUUUAUUUCGAAGAUUUCAGUUUUGACAAUUUGACUAAAUAAAUAUGCGGGUUAAAAUUUUCAUGAUCUAAAAAAAUGUAACGAGAACUAAUAAAAUUUAUUAUUUUAUUACGGUUUAUAUCAUUUGAAAUGUUUAUUCAAUAUAAACGAUAUGUCCGGCCUUGUGGUGGCUGGUGGGUGCAAUUUGAGAUGGUAAAAUUUUUUUAUUUUGAAGACAAGAUGUGAAUCCCAUUUAGUAUUAUUAUUAAAUUAAGAAGUAUAAAGAAGUCAAGCAACCAAGAAACCAUAAAGAAGUCAAACAGGCUAGAAGCCGUAAAGAAGUCUAGAAACCAUAAAGAAACCAAAUAUCAUAAACUAAAGAAAAGAUAAAAUAGAGAGUAAUAACAGCAGCAAAAAAAACAGAGAACAGUAGCUUAUUUGUUUGCCACAACAGAUCUAAUACUUGUCCGUUUGUAAUCAUAUGUUUGCUGUUGUUCUCUGUUUAUUGCAGCUGCUAUUACUCUCAUUUUAGCUUUUCCUUAGCUUAUGAUCUUCGGUUUCUAUAUGGCUUCUUGGCUGCUUAACUUCUUAACGUCUCCUACGUGUUUGACUUCUUUAUGGUUUACCCCAAAAUGACCGAAGUGUUCCACAUUUAUGUAUUUUAAAGAGGAUCGUUCUUCUUCUCUAUGUCUGUCUGUCUGGCUGUUGUCUUUCUCUUAUGAGCAAUAAAACAGUACAUGAUAUGUAAAUUAUUUUUCACUCAAGUAUCUAUCUUGACAGCACAGAAUUUGUUGUUGUUGCAACAGCCAUGGAAAUCAUCAAGAACAAUUCAUGGUUGAUGCUUUUUGUUCUUUUUAUGUGCUUUUCACUCAAAUCCCAUGUCUCCUUCGGAGCUGACACCGUUUCUGCAAACCAAUCUCUCUCUGGCGAUCAAACGAUCGUUUCUAAAGGUGGGGUCUUUGCAUUUGGUUUCUUCAACCCAGCUCCUGGUAAGUCUUCAAACUAUUACAUAGGCAUGUGGUACAAUAAAGUCUCUGAAAGAACUAUAGUUUGGGUAGCCAACAGAGAACAGCCAGUCUCUGAUAGAUUCUCUUCGGUUUUAAGAAUCUCAGAUGGUAACUUAGUUCUUUUUAAUGAGUCCCAACUACCCAUUUGGUCCACAAAUUUGACCGCUACCAGCAGACAUUCUGUGGAAGCAGUUCUUUUAGAUGAAGGAAAUCUUGUUUUGAGAGAUUUGUCAAAUAAUUUGUCAGAGCCGUUAUGGCAAAGUUUUGAUCAUCCAGCUCAUACUUGGAUUCCUGGUAUGAAGCUGACGUUCAACAAGAGAAACAACGUCAGUCAACUUAUCACUUCAUGGAAGAACAAAGAAAAUCCUGCACCGGGUCUCUUCUCCCUUGAGCGAGCACCAGAUGGAUCAAAUCAAUAUGUUAUGUUGUGGAAUAGGUCUGAGCAGUACUGGUCAAGUGGACCUUGGGAUGAGAAUGCAAAAAUUUUCAGCAUGAUCCCUGAAAUGAAUCAAAACUAUAUCUACAAUUUCAGCUAUGUGUCGAAUGAAAACGAGAGCUAUUUCACCUACAAUGUGAAAGAUAGCACUUACACAUCUCGAGCGUUUAUGGAUGUUUCAGGACAGGUUAAGCAGAUGAAUUGGUUGCCUACCAACUCUUGGUUUCUGUUUUGGUCCCAACCAAGACAGCAAUGCGAGGUUUAUGCUCUUUGUGGUCAAUUUAGCACCUGCAAUGAGCAAACUGAGCGUUUUUGUUCUUGUUUGAAAGGUUUUCAACAAAAAUCGGUGAGUGACUGGAAUUUGGAAGAUUAUUCUGGUGGUUGUGUGAGGAAAACCCCGCUGCAGUGUGAAAAUAAUAGUCCUGCCAAUGGAAAAAGCGACCAAUUUUUCCAGUACAGUAACAUGAAAUUGCCUAAACAUCCACAAUCUGUGGCAGUAGGGGGUAUCAGGGAAUGUGAAACACACUGCAUGAAUAACUGCUCUUGCACUGCUUAUGCUUACAAUGACAAUGUUUGCUCGAUUUGGGUAGGAAGUUUUGUGGGUCUGCAACAGCUGCAAGGAGGUGGAGAUACCAUUUAUAUCAAGCUUGCAGCUUCUGAGUUCGAGAGUCCCAAGAACAACAAGGGAGUAGUCAUUGGCGGUGUUGUGGGCUCAGUGGCUGUCGUAGCUCUUAUUGGCCUGAUCAUGUUUGUAUACUUGAGAAGGAGAAAGACAGCAACUGUAGCAACCGAAACUGUGGAGGGUUCUUUGGUGGCAUUUGCAUACAAGGAUUUGCAAACUGCCACAAAGAAUUUCUCUAAAAAGCUGGGGGGAGGAGGUUUUGGUUCAGUUUUCAAAGGGGUGUUUCCGAAUUCAAGUCUCAUAGCUGUGAAGAAGCUUGAAAGCUUGAGCCAAGGAGAGAAGCAAUUUCGGACUGAAGUCAGAACCAUAGGGAAUAUCCAACAUGUCAAUCUGGUUCGGCUUCUGGGUUUCUGCUCUGAAGGUACUAGUAGGUUGUUGGUCUACGAUUUCAUGCCAAACGGUUCUUUAGACUCUCAUCUCUUCACUGAAAAAGAUUCAGCCUUUCUUGAUUGGAAGACAAGAUAUCAAAUUGCAAUGGGGACAGCCAGAGGUUUGGCUUAUCUCCAUGAGAAGUGCAGAGACUGCAUCAUACACUGUGACAUAAAGCCAGAGAACAUUCUGUUAGAUGCUGAAUUUUGUCCCAAAGUAUCGGAUUUUGGGCUGGCAAAGCUUGUUGGGAGGGAGUUCAGCCGUGUCCUAACAACCAUGAGAGGAACAAGAGGUUACCUUGCACCUGAAUGGAUUUCAGGAGUGGCCAUAACAGCCAAAGCGGAUGUCUACAGCUAUGGAAUGAUGCUGUUUGAAUUUGUAUCAGGAAGGAGGAACUCCCACGAAUCUGAAGAUGGUAAAGUGAAGUUCUUCCCAUCUUGGGCUGCUAAACAAAUAGUUGAAGGCAGCAAUCUCAUUAGCCUAUUAGACCCAAGACUGGAGGGCAACGCUGACGAAGAAGAGCUUGCAAGACUUUGCAAUGUGGCUUGUUGGUGCAUCCAAGAUGAUGAGACUCACAGGCCAUCAAUGGGUCAAGUAGUUCAAAUUCUUGAGGGAGUUUUGGACGUGACACUGCCUCCAAUUCCCAGAGCUCUCCAAGUAAUGGUCGAUGACCAUGAGCACGUAGUCUUCUUCACUGAAUCAUCCUCAUCUCAGAGUUCCCUGUCAAAGAGCAACAAUUCAACUGCUUCAUCUCAAGCAAAGAGUACCACAUCAUCAAGAAGUUCUUAAAUCGGUGCGAAGAAAAUACUUUCACAUUUGUGUUUAAGAAUGUAUAUUUGGAUAGAAGCCUUGCUUCGUAGUGUAUAAUAAAAAUCACGAGGCAACAUUGAGAAUUUCGGAGUUGAGUGUAACACAAUUAAUCCUCAACAAAUAUAUUAAAGCGAUUACAUUUCCUGUCUCUCGUCUCAUGCAUGUUACUGCUGAUUGCCUUUGAUAUUUUAAACCAAUUUUGAUUCACCAAAUAAUCAAUCAAUUAAUUUACUUGCUCUAUAUUCUCAUAACUUAUCCAUUACAGAUUUCCAAUGCGGACUCAAGUAUGGAGUUUUUCUAGCCUCAUAUUUGCAUUCGUAAUUAUCACGUCACAUGUACAAGAGAAUGAUUUGAUAUACAAUUGAACAGAUAUUAAUGAAUCUAGAGUAGUUUCAAAUUAGUCAUCGACAUAAUUGAUGCUAAAAUAAUUUCUAAGAGACAAAUUUUAAUCUCAAAUCCCCCAAAAAAAGAGUAGAUAAUUAAAAAAAAAAAAGCACGAACAAUUGCAAAAAGCUAUUUUUUAUAGUUUCACUUCAGUUCACAGCCUCCUCAUAUCGAGAAACAGCUUCUGAUCAAGCUCAAACUCUUGAAACAGAUUAUUUGUUACAUAUUUUUCAUGAACCAACUGGUCAACAUUGUUGAACUGUCGAUAUUUUUAUUGACUUCAAUUGACUAACAAGUUUCCUUCUUUUCUUGAAGGAUGGCUUUGACGGCGUUUCUUGAAGGAUGACUUAGACCUUUCGUUGAUUCGCGUCCUCGAUAUUGGUUCGUGGCAUUCAAUCUCCCUGAUCUCGCCGUCUUCCGGAGAGAAGACGUUUGUCGAAGUUAUCGCAAUCGACGCUUGCCAUUGUCCUGGUAAGUCAUGGUUAAGCUAACAGUAACAAUAACGGCAUUGAUAACUGUUAGAACGCUAAUAGUUUAUUUUAUUACUUGUUUUAAUUCAUUUCUUCUUAGCAUUAGGUUUUUUUUCAAUUAUAAAUUAAUGUUAAAUUAUAGUUAGGACUUAAGGAUGACAAUGGGGCAGAUAUGGGUUGGAUUUACUCUGCUCCAGAUCCAAAUCCAUAAUAAAAAUCAAAAUCCGUAUAUGCUCCAGAUCCGUCAUGAAUCUAUAUUUUUCGUUCCAUAUCUAGAUCCAAAAAAGAAAUAAAUAUCUAUAUCUGCUCCAAAUUCGCAAAAAAAAUUAAAAUCCAAAUCUGCUCUAGAUCCGUCAUGAAUUCUAAAAUUCAGUAAUAAAAAAGUAAUAAUUUUUUAGAUUGAAAAUUGAAGGCUAAAAUGUAUUGAUAACAAAUAAAUUAUAUAAUUUUUCUCAAAAAUAUAAUAAAUAUUGUAGCUUAUACUUUUACACCAAAACAACAAAUAAGAAAGAUAAUAAAAUAUCAUUCAGAAGUAAUUGCAGAAAUAAGAUCAAUCUAAUAUUCUAUUAUCUCCUUCAUCAUUCUAUUAUUUACGAAAUACCUACCCUUAUUCCUACAACAUUAGAUAAUGACAUAUAAAUUAAAUAUGAUUUAUAUUCAAUCCUUUAUUAUUUUUAUUAUGACCAUAUUUGACUAAAUAUAUGAAUAACUAUAUUCCUUAAAAAUUAUUUAGCAAAUAUAAUAAAAUAAAUUGCCAGGUUAUAUUACUUGGCUUGCAAUUUGAAUAUUGCAUGUACACGUUUUGGGGUUGGCUGACCUUUAAAUUUACAAAACAAACUUUUAAGUUUUAAGAGUUUAAAUGCAUGGUAAAUACUACUAAUAUGCUAUGAAUAAAAUUUAUUAUCAUUAUAAUUCUACAAUUGUUAAGAAACUUUUAAAAUAAAAUAAAAUUAAAAGAUGAGUGGAUAUGGAUAUAGAUUUAGAUAUUAAGAUAUAUCCAUAUCUGCUCCAGAUUCAUCUUAGAUCCGCACAUCGAUAUCCAAAUCCGAUAUAAAUCUAUUUUAAAUCGAUCCAAAUCCGAUCCGAUUGAAUUUGGAUCACGUGAAUCUUGGAUCAGAUCCAAUCCAUUGCCAUCCCUAUUAGGACUUUCUUAAACGACGAUAAAUAAAUAGUUUUUAUUAUAUUUUUUAAAAAGUAAUAAUAAAAUUAAUUCUAAUUUCUGUUAAUUCUUUUCUCUUCCCUCUGAAUUCUUAAAUUCAUUAUCUAUUUCUCUCUUAAUUCUCUACUCCAAACCUUAGAAUCCUACCAUGUGGUAUUAGAGCACAUCCUUCCUGCCACAAUUUUUUUCCGUUCACUAUUUAAAAAAAAAAGUCAUCAACCAAACUUUUGCCAAUAUCUCUUGGCUUUUGACUGGAGACUUAAACCGGACCCACCCUCUAAACUUUUUCCAACAUCUAAACUUUUUCAACCGAACCUGAAUUUUCUCGAGAGUUUUUUUGAGGCAUCAUGAUUGCUAAGGAGCUUGAAGGCAAAGGUCAACAGUUGUCUCAACAGUUUCAUGACAAAGUUACAACCAUCGAUGAAAAGGUUACGACCUUAGCCAAGCAAAAUAACAAUCUGCAGGAACUCAUGAACGACAUCCUUAAGCAAUUGAGCUAGUUGCAAAGAGGAAAACAACCGACUGCUGAUAAAAGACAAGUUGAUAUAUUUACUGGAGGGACCUCUGCUCCUCAAAUGGUAAUUGCUACCCAACCACCUCUUGAACCUGCCGAACGCAUUAGAAGUACUCUCAUGCAAGCUCGUAACAUAUGACUUGACUUUCCUAUUUUUCAUGGUGACAAUCCAACCGGAUGGAUUUUUCGAUAUGAGCAAUAUCGUCGCCUUACUGGAUUAUCAGAUGCUGACUUAUUGUCCUUAGCUAUUGGCCAUCUUGAUGGUGAUAUUGUACCUUGGUUUCAUUGGAUAUAGCAAACUAUGGGCGAAAUGACUUGGGUGCAAUUUAAACGGGCUUUGAAUACUUGAUUUGGGACAUUAGAAGAGAAUGAUGCAGUUGGCAGUCUUACCAAAUUACGUCAAAUAGGGACCGUUCUUGACUAUCAACGGUAAUUUUAAAAGUUAGCCAAUCGGACUAGCAAUUUAACUGAAUAUUUCUUCAUCAGUUGUUUCCUUUCUGGGUUACAUGAAGAUAUCAAGGCUGGCGUGCAACUGUUCAAACCUGUUAGUCUCGUUCAAACUUUUGAACUUGCUAGGUUUAAUAAAAGACAAUUACUUUGCAAGGCAAUUGUUCCCCCGUUCCUGCCAUCCAAGAUCUAGUCCCACAAUUACAGUUGACUCCUACUCCACCAGCACCCUCUUUAUUAGGACUGAUUUCCUCUACCUUACCUAAUAAUGUCAAACGUUUAUCCUCAGCUGAGCAGACAGAAAGACGUUCUGAAGGGCUUUGUUUCAAGUAUGACGAGCAAUUUAAGCCUGGGCAUCGUUGCAAACAAUCUCAACUAUUGCUUUUAGACGUUGAUAUAACUCUUCACAACCCUCCAAAACCGCUUGACCAUCAUUCGGAUUGGAAGAUCCCGAUUAUUGAGACUGGGUAAAAGGCUUGCAGACAAGCCUAUUUUAAGGGGCAGGGAAUGUUAGGACCCUAAUAAUUUAUUUUAUUACUUGUUUUAAUUUUUUUUCCUAUUAAUACUGGGUUUUCUUAUUUUAAUUAUGAAUUAAUGCUCUUAUUAAAUUACAAUUAGGACCAUCUUGAACGACUAUAAAUAAGUGGUUCUUAUUAUAUUUUUGAGGGAGCAACAAUAAAAUUAAUUCUAAUCUCAGUUAAUUCUUCUCUCUUCCCUCUAAAUUCUUAAAUUCUUCAGCUAUUUCUCCCUUAAUUCUCUGACCAAAACCUCAUAAUCCUACCAGUAACGGACUGCAUUACGUUGGAGAAGACGAUUUACACACACACAAGAUAAUAAAGGCAUUUAAAUCACCUAAUUAAGUUGUAUAGGGAUAAAUAAUUAAAUUACAAAAAGCUCGACAUAUACUGAAAAAUAAAAAAGAAAUUAAACAAAGUCAUAAAUUUAUUGGCAUCUGAAUUCUGAAAAUUGGUGUGUGUCUUCAGUAGGGAAAGUUAUCAUUUGCAUACGGUUAUUUUUAUUGAUAUUUAAUACCUCUAUUUUAUGUUCAAUUGGAAGGAAUUCUAGGCUGUUCAGUUUUCUACUUACGGUAUUAUCACGAUCGUUGUUAUUGAGAAAAUUGUGGCAAUUUUUUGAUUGAUAAUGAUGAUUUUAGUACGUGGCAGGCUCGGUGAUGCUGUUAUUUCGCGGAGAUUUUGGAUGCCUGCUCUAUACUGGUGAUUUUCGCUGGGAAGCAAGUAAUGAGAGGGCCGAGAUAGGAAGGAACACACUUGUCAAAGCUUUAAAAGAUGAUGUAGUCAACAUUCUUUAUUUAGAUAACACAUAUUGCAAUUCAUCAUAUGCUUUUCCUUCACGAGAAGUUGCAGCUCAGCAGGUACACUUUUUAAAUUUCUCUCCUGCGUUAUUUUUCCUUUCUUGUUUGAGAACUUUCAGUUUCACUCCAGAAUUAUCUACUGAAUUAAAGAUUAAAAUGGUAGAUGAAAGAAAUAGUCCAGUUACUGAUUUGUAGUGUUAGUUAUCUGGCUGGAAACAGAUUGUUGACAUAAUUGCCUCCCAUCCAGAUCAUGACAUCAUCAUUGGGAUUGACUCACUUGGAAAAGAAAAACUUUUAUUUCACAUAUCGCAUAAGCUCAAUAUAAAGGUUUGCUCACCCUUUUUAUAUCGGAAAACCUUUUCUUACAUAACGAUCAUCACGAUGGUCUCUCCAAGGGGGAUGAAAUCAAUAGCAUAUAUACAGUAAAUUGACAUGUUAUCUAAUUUUUGGAUCUCUUGUAGAUGAUUUAGAAGGAUCUUGACAGUUUUUAUUCUUCUAACAUCUAACAUAUGUUUUACAUUUUAGAAACUGGGCGGGUUAGAUUGUCAUUUGGUGGAUUUAAUUGUGGUCAAAUUCAUACAUCUAAUGUAUUGUCACACAUGUAUUAUUGGAUGCAUCCAAUUGUGUGUUCUUCCUCUUCAUGUGCCAUGAGAACUUAAAACUGCCCUCUUCAUCUCUUGCAAAAUGUUGUUUAGUCACAAGCAAGUGGAAUAAAAUUUUUGCAUUCAUUUCCAAAGCAGAUAUUUACUCUGUGUUUCUUGUUUCACAUUUUUUUUUUUUUAUAGAUUUGGGUGUGGCCAGAUCGCAUGCAAACCAUGCAUCUGCUUGGCUUCCAUGACACAUUCACAACCAAAACUUCUCUUGCUAGAGUGCGAGCUGUUCCACGGUAUAGUUUUAGCAUUGAUACUUUAGAGAAUUUAAAUACAAUGCACCCAACCAUUGGAAUUAUGCCAUCUGGUCUUCCUUGGGUGGUUAAGCCUCUUAAAGGAGGUAGCAGUCUUCCUGGUUCUCUUUUUCCUUCUUACCAAAGCAGAUGGAGAGCAACGGGUGGAACUCAGACUGAGAAACUGAAAGAAGCUUUAGGAUCAGUGGACAGUUUUCGUAAGUACAUAUAUUCAGUUCCAUAUUCUGAUCACUCCUGCUUUACGGAGAUAGAGGAAUUUUUAAACCUUGCCCAGCCAUUGAAUAUCAGAGGCAUCGUGUCUUCAUCAUCCUGUUCUGUUGACCCUCUUUACUACUUUGGCCACCUUUGCAGAGCAAAUCAACCAUCGCUGAGGUAUAAGCAGGAACAGAGAGUGCAGCACAAAACAGUUGUAGCCGCCCGAAUAAAAUUCAAUGUUGAAAGUGGUAGAUCCACUAAGGUAGAUAGGAAACGAAGGACUGCAGAAGUAGGUAUUUUAGGAGUUCACAUGAGUAAGGUGGAUGCCCUUAGGCGGGCCCGACGCGGUGCGAAGCUUGCUCGAAGUGAGAGUUCUGAUUGAUUAGGGUCAAAUAUCAAUAUCAGUUAAGCUUGAAAUUCUUGCAAGUAAUGUUACCUGUAUCGGUUUGAAUUCAGAGUCUAUUGUAUGGUUGAAGAAUACAUAUGAUGGUGUAGGGUGUAAGUAAUAUAAUCCUUUUAUUUAUUUAUUUAUCUCGGAUGUCUAAAGCGACGGCCUAUUAGUGCUCAUUAAGGAAAAUGGUUGUGUGAAAGCACUUCGUCUAGAUUAGGGAUGGCAAAUAUUUAAUUAUGGAUGGAUAAUAUUCAUCCAAACACAAAUCCAUAAUUAUCCAUAAUAGAUAUAUCUAUAUUCAUAUUCAAUAUUUAAUAUUGGACAUGGAUAUGGAUUUUAUCCAUAUAGCUAUGGAGAUCCAUGGAUAUCCAUAUAUAUUUUAUUUUUAUUAUAUAAAAAUAAUAAUAUAAAAUAGUUAAAAUUUCAAUAUCAAAUUUAGCUAUUAAACUAUUUAUAUUAGUAAUAAUAUAUAUAUAUAUAUAUAUAAUAAAAUGGCGGUUCGGUGGUUGGUGGCGGCGGUCCGGCAAGUUUCCGGUGAAUUCCGGCGGAGGUCCGACGACCUUUCGGAGACCUUCCGGCGAGGUCCGGCGAUCUUCCGGCGAGGUCUGGUGGUGGUUCGGCGAUCUUCCGGCGGUAAUUCUGGCGACAUUCCAGCGAUGUUCGACGGUGGUCCGGCGAGGUUCGGUGGUGGUCCGGCGACUUUCCAGUGGAUGUCCAUUUAUAAUAUUAAAUUAAUAAAAUAAAAUAAUAAUUAUUAAUAGUAUUAAAUAAGUUAAAAAAUUAAAGGGUAAUUUUAAAAACUUUAGUUUUUAAUAUAAGAGAAAUUUAAAUUUUUCACUAGUUAAUAUAAUAUUUUUACAAUUGUUUGUUUAUUAUAUUUUUAAUUUUUAAUUUUAUAAAAUUUAAACUUUUUAAACUUGUGUUGGGUUAAACGGAUAUCCAUUGGAUAAAAAUAAUUAUCAAUAUCCAUCUGGAUAUAAUUUUAAAAUAUCCAUUUCAAGAUCCAAAAAAUUUUGGAUGGAUAUUAUCCGAUCCAAUUGGAUGGAUAUUAUGGAUAUCCAUUAUGGAGCGAUCCAGUUGCCAUCCCUAGUCUGGAUCAGUCAUUUUGACUGUUUACGCCUGGAUCAGUCAUUUGAUUGUUUACGCGGGAUAGGUAUAGUGGCUUUUUGGUUUAGAUUAUUAUAGUUGUUUUCAAACUCGUGGCCUUUAAACACAUUAUAGAUUGACAAUCAAGGUCUUUACUUGAUUUGCAAUAAGGUAAAGAAGUCAAAUGGGUAAUUAUUUUUUGUGAGAGUGAAUUGCGGCAAACAUGAGCAAUUUUUGCAUCAUUGUGCAUUUUGUUGUAGAAUGAGGAGAGUCAACUUUCCUGACCAUCUAGAUGAACCCUUAGUUGAAUCUCUCCAUGGCCAUAAGUGGGCGGCAUAGACCAAAUCCUGAAACUAGUCAUGGUCUAAUAUGCAGACCACUCUGACUAUGGCCAAGACACUGGAAAAUGGUGAACGUUGACUAAGUUUUGAAAGUUAUCAAAUUUAAUAAAACAAAUCAAAUUUAUAAAGUUUUGAAAGUUAUCAAAAUUUAAUAAAACAAAUCAAAUUUAUAAAGUUUUGAAAGUUAUCAAAAUUUAAUAAAACAAAUCAAAUUUAUAAUUAAGGGUCCAGCUACGGUGCCCCCUUGGGCACGGUGUCCCCUUCUUUUGUCAUUAUUCAGGCUAGCCGUUAGAUUAUAAUGACUUUAAUCCAACGGUUGGGAUUUUGAAACUGUACAAUGAUGUGAAGUGGGCAACUGUCCAAACCUGUUUCGGCUACCAAAUUAGUUUUAGGGUUCUACAUACGGCUGCGUCUACGGUGCCCUAGGGGCACCGUACCCCCUAUUUUUGUCUUUAUCGAGGUUGUCGUUUGAUGAAAAGGAGCAAGAUCGUGCAGCUGUUGAGUGGGCACGUAGCUCACGAGACAAACGGGGGAUGUAGGUCAUGACACCGGAACUGUUUGAGUUGCAAUAAAUUUGUUUUAAGGAACAAGAAAAUAUUUAUCCAUUAUAACAAUAAACAUAUUAGUUGAAACAACUAUUUUGGCAGCAAUUAAUUUUUAAGGAACAAUAAAAUGUACUACAUACAAGUUUAUGUUGCAAAAGCCAAAAAUUUCGAUAUACUAAUACUAUUGUAGCUGUAAAUAAGAAGUAAUAAGAUUAUUAACACUGUAAGGUUAAUGGAAGGAAAAUCUAUCCAAGCCUAAAAUGAUACAAACUACAUCUGUUCGAAUUUAUGGUUGCUGAAAAAUCUUUCAUGAUUUGAUCUACUCCUUGACCACAUAAGUGGGUUGAAUUAAUUUAUAUAUUUGAAAUUAGGUGGUUGAAUAACGAUGGCAUGGCCAUAUGGAUUCAAUUUCUUGAUGGACCAAUAACCUUGUUUCGACUGAAAUCAAUACGUGCAAGUAGUCAAUUUGACAGUUGACAUAAACUGUGCUUUUGAAUUGCAAUGGAACAUAAAUGAACAAGCUUUCAUCUAGCUUUACAGAGUGUGAACUAAAUGGUGUAGCAAAUAUAAAUGAAAGAAGGAGCCCGGGGGGUGGAGGCGUGAAGAACUUAAAUAGCAGGUUUUAUUCUGUCGAAAUACUACAAGCACAUUUGUAAUAUUCAAAAGAUGCUGCAACUGUAGUUCUUAGUAUUUGGAGUCAGAAAACUAAGCUUCAAUAUCAUGACAUAACAAAAGAUACAAUAAAAAUUGCACGGACAUAAUAGUUGUCAUAUUUCCAUAACAACGUUACCAAGUCCGUAAAAGCUAGGAACAACAAAACACAUAAAAAUAGUUUCAUAUUAGAGAAUAUCUGAAUUUACAGAGCAUAGAUUAUGUCUAAAUUUCCUGGUUAGUUGAGUUUCUUCGAUGAUCUUGUUCGAAAGCUAAUACCAUUCGUAUCUAAAAUGUACCUCACAGUAUCAAUCAUCUCAAUUAAACUGCCACAAAGUUUCCUCUUUAGCCUGCCACAGUUGUAGCAAACUACCAAAACCCAUUUGACAAGCAGCCACUCUUUGUUCAUCUGUCAGCUGUGAAACUGCUGCCGCUAAUCUAUCUGGGGCGAAUAUAGUCAAGAACUUUGCCUUUGCCACUUCUGACUUCACUAUUUGUCCGCAUUCAAUUUGUAUUAAAAUUUUCUCUCCGAUGGUAAAUCCUUAAACGUGGAUCCAAUUUCCAUCUAGUACACAAUCAUGGCAAAUAAACUAACUACAUCUCCACUAAUUGAAAAUACAAAUUUAUUUUAUCUUUAUAGUGCAACUUUACAUACCUCUUCUGUAAUGCACGUCAUUCCAUCGCUUGCCUUAACCUCAUGCACGGCUUCGCCGCUGCAAUAUCAUCAUAUGACUGCAAAAUUAUACAUCUCUAUAAUUUUUAAUGAACUAAGCUUACAAAUAUCUUAUGAACCCAUUAUGGCAUUUCCUUUUUCUUCUUCCUUCAAUACUUUGAUCGUCACCAACCUCUUCAACACCGCCAUCAAUCUCACACAAUUUAUGCUUAUUACUUCCCACCAACUUAAUUUAUGAAAUUCAGUGAUACAUUUAUUUAUUAUAAUCAAACUAAAGUUCAUAGCAACAUAAAGUUUACAUUCCUAGUCCAGCACAAAACAAACAAAAAAAUUGGGGAAAAAAAUAAACAAAGGAGAUCUGGAACGAAGGGUAAGCAUGUAUCAUUUUACUGUUCCUAAUUUUAAAAAUGUUCACUGUAAAACUUAAUAACACCCAAGCUAACUGGAACUAAUUGUUACGGAUUCGAAUAUCAUUUUAAUACAUGGAAUUACUAAGAUGAAUAUUAUGACAAAAAAAUCCUUUACAUUAUUACAUUGUUGAGAAAAUAUCCAUAACUUUAUUUUAAAAAAUUUGUGCACCCCAAUUUUGCCAUUAUCCGUAUGAGAUCUAGCUUCCCACCAACCAUAUUAUGAACAACAAAUGAUUCAUAUCACAAAUCUCAUAUUAAAAUUACACUUACCUUAAAUUUGGUAUACGCAAUCCUUUCUGUUUCAUUCAAUACUGCCAUAACAAACUACAAGUCACUGCACUCCACUUCAAAAAUUCGACACGACAUCAUUGCUCCAAUUACAGUUAUACAGAAUUAAGAAAAUAUUCAUGCUUUAAAAAUUUCGCCAAUGUCUGUUGAAAUACAACCAAGGGUAUGUAGAGGGUCCAGCUACAAUACCCAUGGGGUUUGGUACCCCAUUUUUUGUCUUUUUCAAACCUACCGUUGGAUUUAACGUAAGUGCAUAAUGGCUGAGAUGUGAUUAUUGGGUUAUUAACAUCAAAGACCCUUAUUGUUCAUGUAAAAUAAAAAAAAAUCAAAAGUUUUGAAAUUAUGACAUAUAAGUCAAUAAUAUUCUCUUUUUUUUUUUUUUUAACUCUAUUGAAAUAUGUUUCCAAUUAAAUGAUUUAUUCUUACAUUUAUUAGUAUCUAUUUUAAUUAAUAAAUUUAUUAAUUAAUAAAUUAACUACUUUAUUAUAUAAUUAAACUAUGUAUAUUAUUUACUAACCAUAAUUAAUGAUAAAUAUAAAUAUGAUCUUUUUUUUAAUUUAAUAUAACAACAACUAAUUUUUUCUGACCUAUGUGAAUAAGGUUCAAAACCUAUAUUUUUCUUUUCCGCAAGACGGUGACCCUUGUGGGUCUAUCAACAAUUCAAAGAUUGCACAACUUGAUUGUCCAUUUCCAAUCACUCAUUUCUUUCUCUCUGCCCAACCAAACGCGUAAAACUGAUUAACGUUGUUGAUAGAGUUUUAAAUAUGAUCAAAUGGCUGUGAUUGUUUGUAGGCUUGGUCCUAUAAAGCUCAAUCGACCUACAAGCCAAUAAAAAAAAUUAAUUGAAAUUGCUAGCACUAGCCGCAACUGGGCCCAUUCACAUUACGAGGUUCACCUCCUCUAGAACUUGUACAGGUGGACAUGGUUACAAACUAUUGCUUUUGUAGAAACAAUCCAAGUUGAUGUCUAGGGUGGAUAUUAAAAUCUUGCUGACGCAAUCUGUUAUAUUGGUUUAAGAAUUACUAUAUGCAUGUGUAACAGCUUAUUAACAAGGAAUUGACACUUGUUAUAUAUGUGUGUAAAAUACAUUGAUUCAAUAAUAAGAAGUUUUCAGUUUAUCAAUAUUUUCUUUCUCUUUCGUUUAACUUUCUCGUUUACCAAACACAACAUUUGGUUUUCUUUCACAAAGUGUCGGAUUUUGGGCUGGCAAAGCUUGUUGGGAGGGAGUUCAGCCGUGUCCUAACAACCAUGAGAGGAACAAGAGGUUACCUUGCACCUGAAUGGCUAUCAGGAGUGGCCAUAACAGCCAAAGCGGAUGUCUACAGCUGCGGAAUGAUGCUGUUUGAAUUUGUAUCAGGAAGGAGGAACUCCGAGGAAUUUGAAGAUGGUAAAGUGAGGUUCUUCCCAUCUUGGGCUGCUAAACAAAUAGUUGAAGGCAGCAAUCUCAUUAGCCUAUUAGACCCAAGACUGGAGGGCAACGCAUAGGAAGAAGAGCUUGCAGGACUUUGCAAAGUGGCUUGUUGGUGCAUCCAAGAUGAUGAAACUCACAGGCCAUCAAUGGGUCAAGUAGGUCAAAUUCUUGAGGGAGUUUUGGACGUGACACUGCCUCCAAUUCCCAGAGCUCUCCAAGUAAUGGUCGAUGACCAUGAGCACGUAGUCUUCUUCACUGAAUCAUCCUCAUCUCAGAGUUCCCUGUCAAAGAGCAACAAUUCAACUGCUUCAGCUCAAGCAAAGAGCACCACAUUAUCAAGAAGUUCUUAAAUCGAUGUGAAGAAAAUAUUUUAACAUUUGUGUUUAAGAAUAUAUAUUUGGAUUAUUUCACUUGUAACAACCUGUAUGCAUAUUUGGAUAGAAGCCUUGCUUCGUAGUGUAUAAUAAUAAUGCCCCCUGCCAAAGCAAUUUUAAGAAUCACAAGCCUUGUGCCUCGCUGUUCUCUCUAAUGAACUCUGAUUGAUCUAUGCUCCUCUGCGUUGACUUUUGGGUUCACCUAAUCGCUUCAAUUGUCAAAAUUAGGUAUUGAAAUGAAAGCGAAAUGCCAAAAGCAACUUGGAACUUGGAUGUUAUCCAGAAGAAGGGGAAAAACAGCAGAAACAAUCAAACAUAAACGUGACGUUGUAAUAAAUAACAUCGGUCAAGAUAUGAAUCAACUGGCCAACAUUGUUGAAUUGUCCAUAUUUUGAUUGACUUCAAUUGACUAACAAGUUUCCUUCUUUUUUUGAAGGAUGGCUUUGACGGCGUUUCUUGAAGGAUGGCUUUGACGGCUUACGUAGCACAAAUAAUUUAUGUUGGACGUUUAAAUAAUCCAUCAGAAAAAAAUUAUCACACGGUUGACAGUAUAAGCACAACGACAGUGAUUACUAACUGUUUCUGCUUAGGCCCGCCAUACCCAACCCUCAAUUUCUCCCUUAAGUCUUGAUAAAUAGACCAUCUGCUGUUCAUAAACAUCAUCUUGUCUGCACAGAAGUUUUCCAGCAGCCAUGGAUGUCAAGAACAAGGCAUGGUUCAUGCUUUGUGUUCUCUCCGUAUGCUUCACUCUCAAACCUCAUUUAUCCUUUGCUGCUCGUGACUCCAUCUCUGCAAACCAAUCUCUCUCUGGGGAUCAAACUAUUGUCUCUGCUGGUGGGGUCUUUGAACUAGGCUUCUUCAAGCCAGGUAACUCUUCAAACUACUACAUAGGCAUUUGGUUCAAAAAGUUGUCAGAACAAACCAUAGUUUGGGUGGCAAAUAGAGACAAACCAGUUUCCGAUAAAAACUCCUCAGUGUUAAGAAUAUCAGAUGGUAAUUUAGUUCUUUUAAAUGAGUCUAAAACGGCCAUCUGGUCCACAAGUUUGAACUCUAGUAAUACAACAACUUCAAUCGAAGCAGUUGUUCUAGAUGAAGGUAAUUUUGUUUUGAGAGAUUCUUCAGCUAAUUCAACCUUAUGGCAAAGUUUUGAUCAUCCGACUCAUACAUGGCUUCCCGGAAUGAAGUUUGGAAUAAACAAACGGGCAAAAGUAAACCAAUUUCUCAUCUCAUGGAAGAAUAAAGAGGAUCCUGCACCGGGUCUCUUUUCGCUUGAGCUAGCCCCAGAUGGAUCGGAUCAAUAUGUUAUAAUGUGGAAUAGGUCUGAAAAAUACUGGAAUAGUGGAGUCUGGACUGGAAUAAAUUUUGCCAACGUUCCGGAAAUGAUAUCUCAUCAUAAUUUCGACUUCAACUACAUUUCGGAUGAAAAUGGGAGAUAUUUCGUUUAUUCUGUUACUAAUUCUAUGACAACUCGUUUUGUUAUUGAUUCUUCAGGGCAGAUUGAGCAGAUGUUUUGGUUGGAGUCUAGCAAGGCUUGGUUUCAGUUCUGGUCGCAACCAAGGCAACCUUGUGAUGUUUAUGCUUAUUGUGGCGCAUUUGGCAGCUGUAAUGAGGGAAACCAGUCUUUCUGUGCUUGUCUGCCUGGUUUUAGGCCAAAAUGGGAGAACAAUUGGAACUUGAUGCAGGAUUAUUCUUCUGGCUGUGUGAGGAAAACCCAACUGCAGUGUGAAAAUACUGUUGUUACAAAUGGAAAGAGUGACAAGUUUUUAGCAAAUUCUCACAUGGUAUUGCCUAAACAUCCACAAUCUGUGGCAGUAGGGAGUAUCAAGGAGUGUGAAACAACCUGCUCGAGGAACUGCUCUUGCACUGCUUAUGCUUAUGAAGACAAUGCUUGUUCAAUAUGGAUUGGAAGUCUCUUGAGUCUGCAUCAACUUUCACCAGGUGACGCAAAUGGGAAAACUAUUUAUGUCAAGCUUGCAGCUUCGGAGUUUUCAAGUUCCAGUAAUAACAAGGGAAUAGUCAUUGGUGCUGUCGUGGGUUCAGUGGCAUUUGUAGCUCUAUUAGGCCUUCUUGCUUUUAUGUAUUUCAGGAAGAGAGAGAAUACAAUGAAAACAAGCAAAUCAGUGGAGGAUGGUUCAUUGGUGGCAUUUGCAUACAAGGAUUUGCUAACAGCCACAAAGAAUUUCUCUGAAAAGUUGGGGGGAGGAGGUUUUGGUUCUGUUUUCAAAGGGAGGCUGCCUAAUUCAAGUGUCAUAGCUGUGAAGAAGCUGCAGAGCUUCAGCCAAGGAGAGAAACAAUUCAGAGCAGAAGUCAGCACAAUAGGGAACAUCCAACAUGUCAAUCUAGUUAGGCUUCGUGGAUUCUGCUCUGAAGGUACCAAAAAAUUAUUGGUCUAUGAUUACAUGCCAAAUGGUUCCCUAGAUUCGCACAUCUUCCAUAGAGAGGAUUCAAAGGUUCUUGAUUGGAAGACAAGAUACCAAAUUGCACUAGGGACAGCCAGAGGGUUAGCUUAUCUCCACGAGAAGUGCAGAGACUGCAUCAUACACUGUGACAUAAAGCCAGAGAACAUUCUAUUAGAUGCUCAAUGGUGUCCAAAAGUGGCAGAUUUUGGAAUGUCAAAGCUUGUUGGGAGAGAAUUCAGCAGAGUCCUAACGACCAUUAGAGGAACAAGAGGGUAUCUCGCACCAGAAUGGCUUUCAGGAGUGGCCAUAACAGCUAAAGCUGAUGUUUACAGCUAUGGAAUGAUGCUCCUUGAAAUUGUGUCAGGAAGGAGAAACUUUGAAUGGAACUCUGAAUACUCUGAAGAUGAAGAAAUGAAAUACUUCCCAACUUGGGCAGCAAGCCUAAUGAGCGAAGGUGGCAAUGUGCUUAGCCUUUUAGACAAAAGUCUUGAGGGUAGUGCUGAUGUAGAAGAGCUUUCAAGGAUUUGCAAAGUUGCUUGCUGGUGUAUCCAAGAUGAUGAAACUCAUAGGCCAUCAAUGGGUCAAGUGGUUCAAAUACUUGAGGGGGUUUUGGAAGUGACUCAGUCUCCAAUUCCAAGAUCCCUUAAAGUAAUCGCAGAUAACAAGGAGGAUAUAAUCUUCUUCACCGAGUCAUCUGAGACUUCAGCUGCUUCAUCUCAAGCUAAGUUCGCUGGAUCGUCAGCAAGUUCCUAAAUCCUUACCAAGAUAAUCAAUUUUAUUUGAGUAGUACUUGUUAUUUCUGUUUUUUGGAUUUGGGUGGUGUUUUGUUAUUUCUGUUUGACUAUAGUCUUGAAUUUAUUGCCCUUAUUUGAGUACUGCUAUCCUAGAUAGUCUACUAUACAUAUGUGGUUGUAAUCUAUAUUAGUUUCAUAUGGUUUGAACUUCGAAUGUCGUAGCAUAAUGUUUAUCAAAAUCUCGUGUCUGCAGGUUGUUUAUUUUCUAACUGUUAAUAAUGUCCGCUCGAAUGAUAACAAUUUAUCUACCUGUUAAUAUAUGAUUUUAAUAUAUGUUGAUAUGCAGAACACAACAUAACAGAACCAACCAUUUGAAAUUUCAUUUCAGUUGGACGAGUAAUCUAACGUUGAAUUUCACUGUCAUCAAUGGUAAAACAAAGAGUCCAGUUCAUACUUCAGAGUCGUUGCAAAUUAAUUAAAAUGACUAGAAGAUUGGAAUGAAUAGCGAAAUAGACAAACUGAAUUGAUAAGAUAAACAAAUAGAUAGAAUAAAAAUAAAACUAUGUACUGAAAACAUCCGAAUUUGUUGCAGUGUAUUGCAGCACCAAUUUCAUUUGGGCCAAGAAUGUACAAAGAAGCAAAAUCUUGAUGAGUUAUGUUCGAUAAAGUUCAAUGCAGUUAAAUGAAAAAAACUGAAACUAACCCCUCUGUAUAUUCCAGUUUCUAUUCUGUUUCCAAUGGACCGCAAAAACUUAUACGCAGUAAUGAGACUGCAGUAGCACAUUACAAAAUGACACAUCCACAUGUCCCCUAUAAUAUCUGUACAUGCUAAGUAACCCAAAUCUGCAAUGGUAAUUGGUUGAAGAAAAAUAGGGUACUAAUCGUAUUAUAAUACUGAAUAUGGUCAGCUUAGUCUUUGUGUCGAUUGACUACCUUGAUGCCAUCCGUCCAAACACAACCUCUAGCAAAAAGAGACGCAUUUUCCUCUAGUAUUCUGAGCUGUUCCCGAAGAAUUUCAGAACGGUCAAAAAGUGAAGAGUCUUUGAAAGAGGAUUCUUCAGGUACUUUGAGAUCAGACCAGCUUUCUGCCGGCAGGUAUAAAGCUUGUGAAGUGCUGUACCACAGCUCUGAUGAUCAAUAUCCAGAGAAGAAUUAUAGCUUAUCUCAAAAUGAGUGAAAUUAUUAAAAAAUCUAUAUACAUAGCUCAUUUCUAUAAUCCAUUGGGUUCAUAGUCUUAGAUAUCCUGAUAAGAAUUCCAACCCACUGCUUCUACAUAUACCCAGACAUUGAACACAAUUUGGUUUAUUUAUUUCUUAAGAACAUCAUGGUCAGUGAUUCAAAGUUCAAAACAUGAAUUUCAAGGAUUAUGAUAUCUAUGUGGCACGUGUGUCAAGUUUAGUAAAACUUAAAUCUCCAUGGGAAUUCGACGAAAAUCAACAAGCUCCUUCUUAGUCAUAGGUCCGGGUGGCAAAGCUUAUUCAGUUUUGACUUUGGAUACCUGCCUGCCUGAACAAUUGAUUAAGGACGAACCUAUACUAUGCAUGUCGGAUAGUAGUAGCAGAACCACUCAAAAUAGGCAGAAGAUUGCAAUCUAAACCAAUAUAUGACAAGGGUAGAACAUAUAGAGCUUAAACUUUACCUGUGCCUUGUAGCUUAGCAAUCCCACUACAGGGGAGACAACACAGUGUGUUUUCUUGUUGAGGGUAUCAGUUGGCACAUCUCUCAUAACCAUAUGUCCUAGCGAGUGAUAAGUCAAGAAAGCUGCACCAAAUUUCCCUUCAGGAAUUCGAUAUAUGGGAUACCAAGCCACUGAAAACCUAAAACCAAUUUAUUCAGGUUGUAAUAAGAAUGUCACAGAUUGGUUCCCCCCACCCCAAAAAAUAAGUAAAUAAAUGAAAGCACCAUGUGGUGACUGAUUCUCACCAGGAUGCAGGAUGUAGAUCAUUCAGCUUCAAAGAUUUCAACUGUGAUAUGUCACCAAAUACUUGAAGACAAGAAGCUUCAGCAUCAAAAAGAUCCAGAAUUCUGCAAUUAGUAAUUAGUUAAGAUCCAAUCCAGAUACAUCUUAACACCCCAUUUCAAAUAAAAAUGAUGAGGGUUUCAAUGAAUUGUAAACAGAAUGAGAAGAAAGAGUUCAAGGAAAAAAAGCCUACAUGAUAAGCGGUAAUUGGAAAUGGAUGACUAUGAGUGAGUACUAAUUAAGAUAAGAAGAUAAAAAGAAGACACAACUACAGCAAUGAGGACAAAACAUGUCAAACCUUCAACUAGGGCAAUGGUUGGGCACACCACACAAGAAAAGCUGAAAUGGAACUACAAAUCAACUAUGUAGAAUCAUCAUUUCCAUGUACGACUUUUAUGAAUUCUGUAAAUAUGGCAAUGCAAGUUUUGAGGUAAGAAAGCAGAACUCUCAAUGCACAUGGUACAAUAACCUACAGCAGUAUCAUAAAUACUCCAAGAUGCAAUUUCUUCAAGUUAAUGAAUAGACUACAGAUUAAAUACCAUGUGAGAGAAAUAUGCCAGACUCAAGUUUAGAAAAAUAGUUCUAAUAGCAUCCACUGUAAAUAAUUGAUUGUAUAUCAACCUAGCAAUUUGAAUUAGCGACUGCCUGAUGAUUAUAAUUUUCAAUACAGCAAACGAAAGAUAAAGGCUAGUGGCGAAAUUUACUUAUUAUGAAGAGGCCUUCGCAGCCAAGGUUUCUCAGUUUCAAAAAAUUCAAAUAAAAGUUCACAAUUACUGGAGCAAUCAGGUGAUGGAGUGAAACACUGGGAGUGGCCUUCAGGACAGAAAGCCUUAUAUGAAUUGACACUCUCUUCAAACGAGCCAAAUUUCAGCUCUGGGGCCAAAAUAUUUUUCCCCUCUAAUGCUGUUGAGCUAUUUCUGAUAUACAUGUCAGAGUUGGAGCGCUCUUCAUUUGUACCACAAGAAUUAGAUAGAUAUGAGUAGCCAAACAAUUGAACAGCUGAAAGAUAAGGAACAAAAUGAGCAUCAAACGAUGCUGAUUCAGUAAGCCGCCCUUUUAGGUUCUGAGAAUCCCCUACUUUGACUUUCAGUCCAUAAUUCCCUGGCUCCUCGUACCAGUUCCAAACAGAAAAAGUGAUGUAUUAGGUAUCUGGGGCUUACACAAGGAGCUAUCAGACAACUGAUCACCCAAACAUAAAGAACAUUUUCCGUGUUGAUAUAAUGAGGCAAUAGCAGGAGCAGCGGAGUGGAGGAAUCUUUCGAACUCCACAAGUGGACAUCCUGUUUCUAGCUCAAAACCCUCAGAUACUAGUUGCAUUUUGUAAGCAGCAUUUAGAGGAUCUGUUACCAUUAAGCCAACAAUAAGCUGUUGAACAUCUUUCAAAUUUUGCACAUAUUUCAUUCUAAUUUCAGCACUCUUGACGUGGACUUCUGUUGUGGUACGCUGACUGUCAGAAUUUGGAGCUUCAGUUUCAACUAUAUUCAAACUGUUGCUACCAAUUAGGUGUGUACUUUUAAAUUUGCUUAACAUGGCAGAUGCACGAUGAUCAAUUACAUUUCCCCCCAAACGGCCAUCCUUCUCUACUUCAUGUAAAAGUGGCAAGUCGCCAUUACUAACAUGACAGAUACCAGCAGAACCAGUUUUUUCUGAAAUACUUGACCCCUUAGUGCCAACAGCAACCCACUUCUUUGAAUUCAUUCUAGAAGUAACAUCUUUUAUGAAUUGGUUUUCAUUAAAUUGUUCAAAUUUUAAGCAUGAUUCACUUUUUGUGGAAGCAUGAAAUGAUCUAGCUGAUACGUAACUCAUCCCUGGUAUCUUCACCCCACCGUAUGGUUGAGAGCAUACCCUAGUUGGCCGUCCAUGACAAGAAAAAUCAGAAUAAGAAUGCAAGCAGGAUGCACCAUGGGUAAAACCAUGCUGGCUACUGUAAGUUCUCUGCGCCAUAUAAGGAUUCUUGUAACAGUUCAGUUCAAAUGGCACCUCUAAAAAUUCUUUCUUACAUAAACAAGCCUUGUUAUGAGGCCUCAAGAAAUUGUGCCCCUGACAUUCCAGUCCUUUCUUGCUUCUGCAAUAAUUUCAAGGGUUAAAGGAUCCCUUUGUUUUCAAUUUCUGUUCUUCAUAUUCAUCCAAUUCACAAGUGGCCACUUGACUUAAUUGGGACACGUGUCGAUCAAGUCUCCUAUUUAAUCUCUGAUCAGCAACCCAUCGAGAGGACUCAACCAACACCUUCUGGUGGAUUCUCACAUCUGUUUUUGUCUUUUUAUUUCCUGCAUUUGCUACACCAAUGUGCCUAGAAGAUUCAAUUGUUGGAGUGGGCAGCAAUCCUUUACCAAAAAAUGAGUUGUGCUCGACAAAAAGGUUCUUCUGCAGCAUACUUGCAUCUCCCUGUAGAUAAUUGCGUUGCAAUUUGUUACCCUCACUGGUUUGUGUUUCCCUUACAUUCCUCUGCUUCUUCCGCCAGACUGAUUGGCUAUUUUCCUUCCCUGUCAUGAUAUGUUGGUGAUUUCUAGUCUUAUUGACAGCAUCAAGUUCAGAUGGUAAGUUAUGGCUCUUAAAUCCAUUUCUUUCUCUGAUGGCAUGAGAACUGUUGCAGACGUCACACCCUUGCUUGUUCUCAUCUGGAACUUUACAGCAAGUUCUACUAUUGCAGUUUUGAAUAUUCAGAUCUUCAGAACACAGUUUCACAUGUAUUUCACAUAGAGAAGUUGAAUUCACCAGUGGGGUAUUUUUCUCCAAGCCCUUUUCACAGUUUAUAGCAGGAUUGAGUAUAUCCUCCAUAAUUGAUGAAGAAGUUGACUUUGCAUCAAUAACAUCAUAUUUACUUUCUCCUGCCAUAGAAACAAUCUUACAGGAGAUCUUUUUACUUGAAUAAGUUCUCUUUUUGUUGUUCUUCUUUUUCUUUCUAAAAUGUUUCUUGAACUUCGGAUCAUCAGUAAUUGAAUCCACUUUGCUGUUUACCUGCUUAUCACUAAAACCAAGAGUAGCUGAUUGGAAAGAUCCAGCACAUCUUGACUUCUCAUUACACACAACAUCUGGUACAGCUAGAUCUCCGUAUGGCUUCAAAGCCUCAGAGAUCCAGAUGUCACCAAGAACUGCACAACCUAAAGAGCUUGACGAACUACAGAUACCAUUUCCCCGUUCUAUAUGUUGAACUAAUGCUCCUGAAACUUCCAUCUCUAGAACAUUUAUCAAUUUAACGAUUUUCAGUCCUUAUCUAAAUCAACACCAGAAAGCAAAGCCUGCAAUGGGAAAUGAACAAGUUAAAGAAAAGGGGCACGAUCAAGUUCCAAAUGAAAUCAAGUCCUACUAGAGACAGAUAACAUGUUAACAAUAAAGUCAACAGAAUUUGAAUGAAACAAGAAUCCACUCCAGCCUGUCAAAUAUUAAAGCAACAGAAAAGCAAAGAACCAAAAGAGCAUCUCAUUUCUCAUAUGAACCAAAGAUUGGAUAAAGUCAAUAAAAAAUAAUUGGAAUAAAAUGCAAUGAACAAGCACUCAAACCAAAUAUAUUCAUAUGAUCCUCAAAUUUGCAUUUUAGUUAAUGAGAUACUAAAGUGAAUUUAACUAACUACCUAACAGUACAAGCACACAUCUCAUGAAACAAACCAAUUUAUCAGGGCAUUUGCGUACAUACAAAAGUCCAAAUAUCUCUUUAAAUCAAACCCACCUAAUUUUUACCAACAAAAGUUAUUUUUCUUGACCUAAUAUAACUCAAGGGUAGAACUAAAUAUGAACCCAAGAAAUAGCCCAAACCAUGUAAUUUAUUCAAAUGCACGUUUUCAAGUACUUCUCAGACAGUUAUUUAAUUCAUCUGCUACCCAAGAAAAACAAAAUGAAAGUAGAAAAAAGAACAAGAAAAAGAAUGCCACUUUACCAAGUGCAGGUGAUGGGUUCUUGUGACUGCUCAAAGAACCCAGAAAAUAUAAUUAAAAGGAAAUAUCCAUGUUCCUUUAACCAAAUUAAGAAACAUACAAAGAAAACGACAAAUUUUGAAACAAGAAACGUGAAUAAUACUGAUCAAAUUAUGACACCCGUAUUGAAUUUAGAUCAAACAAAAAGAUUAAACAGAGAAAAAAAGAUAAAAGAAAAAGAAAGUACCUGAGAGACAAAAUGAGAAGCGCGCCAGAAGCCAAAAUAUGAAAAAUGGGUUUUUGGGGUUUUGACUUUUGAGUCUGUUUCAAUUUUUAUUUAACGGAUUUCUUGAAAUUGCUAGGAAAUAUUCUCUUAGAGUGUGGAGUAGGCAUAUCACAGUUGAUGAGGUCGAAUCUCUCUCCGUGGGCGCCUUGUGUCUAAUACGUAUGAUGAUAACACAAGCAAAAUACCAUAUGGAUGGAUUAUGGGCAGCCCGCGGAAUUGUCUGUUGUACCCCGCUAUUGUAACCAUCCAGGAGGAUCCGUUUUAAUAUUUUUUUUUGCUACACUUUAAAUAUUCCUAUAAAUGAAUUAAUUCAUGUUUAUAAACAGUGUUACGGAAAAUAAGGGAGAUGGUGAAUAAAUAAUAUUAUAAGUUUUUUAAAAAGUUACAUAAAUAAAAUUAAUAGUUUUUGAAAUAAAAAAUUAUUUCUAAAGAAACAUGAAUUAUUGCCAAGUAGCAUGUGAAUAAACAUUUAAUUAUUCAAAAAAGAAUGAUUAUGUACUCUUUGAUGUAUGUUACGACGUUAAUUGGUGAGAAUGAAAUACUGUACAAUAAAUUAUCUUAGAAAUUUGUUAAAGUAUACUAUGUACCAAUGAAUGUUAUUUUUUCGAAUGAAAAUUUUGGGAUGAUAAUAUUAGGGAUAGGACUAUUUGAGCUCUAAAAAUUAUUUUAAAUACUCUAUUAUUCUAUAGAUUUGUGUACUAUGAACUCUCUACUUUCUUCCAAUAGUUAGUAGUGUGAAAGUGGUGUAAUGAGGGAGUGAUGUGGUGUCUUAAUUACUCUCCCGUUUAGCUCUUUGUUAGUGUUUUUUAAGUCUGCUGUUUUAAAUUUGUGAAGUUUUUUAUAUUGUCGCUAUUUUCCAUUAUUGUUAUUGGUGGUCUAUAUGAUGGGUACGAUGGAAUUAGCGAAACUUUGUGGCUCUUUAACUUUGCGUGUCAAAGCAAGUACGAUUUUGUCUCAGAUGCUGUCCAAAAGCGAAGGGAGGCAAUGGUAGUGAAUUACUUGAUUAGUAAGAUAUUAACGAAGCAGGUGAUUUCCAAAGAUGCCUUCACUAAGAAUUUUCCAGUGAUUUGAAGAACAUUCAGGGAGUUAAGAUCAAAUGUUUAGAGAAGAAUGUAUUCUUGUUCUGUUUUAGCUGACGAGUUCUUUUGUUGGCCCAUGGCAUUUUGAUAGGACAUUGGUUGUUCUCACUCCAUUGCAAGGUAAUGGUGAUUUGACUGUGGAAUGUUCUGACAAAGUGGCAUUUUGGGUGUAAAUUUAUAACGUGCCCUUAUUGUAUAUAUUAAAAGAGAUAACUGAACUUCAACUGAGUAUACAUGGAACGAUGGAGAAAGUAGAUAUGAGAUUAUCUAGUGAUUGUAUGGGAAAGUAUCUGAAAGUUUAUGUUACCUUUGAUAUUGUGUUACCUUUGAUAUUUCUUAUUCGUUAAAACGGGAUUUACGUGUGAAAUUCCAUUCAUUGGAUCUUAAAUGUGUGUUUGGUACUAUAUGAGAAGUAGUUAAAUUUUUAUUUUCACUGUAAUAGGAUAAGACAUAUAUUUCAUAAGUGUGAGGUGCAUGAGUUAGCAAGGGCAGAGGAUGGCUCCCACACCACUCUUCUGUUUGGGAAUUGGAUGAGAAUGAUUGUUGGUGCUUUCGUCAAACGGCUAAAAAAUCCACUAAUGGUCAAGGUUAAUACAAAGAGUGGCAGUGAGGAGUUGAAUGCAUCGUUGAUGACACCAAAUAAGCCGGAUACCGUUAUUAAUGGCGUGAAAAUUUUGGAUGAAUUUCAAAAUGUGAGUGAUUUAAAUUUUGAAAGCGCUAAUGUUGCAGACAAGGGAGCUUUUCCUUAGCUUAUGAUCUUUGGUUUCUAUAUGGCUUCUAGGCCGCUUGACCUCUUUACGGCUCCUAAGUGUUCGACUUCUUUAUGGUUUCUUGGUUGCUUGAGUUCUUUAUGCUCUGCUUCCUUGAUGCCUCUAUGUUUCUUUUUCCCUUUCUUUUACUUCUCGUCUCCGCCUCCAUUUCGUUCCUACAUAUUUUGACAGCACAGAAUUUGUUGUUGUUGCAGCGGCCAUGGAAAUCAUCAAGAACAAUUCAUGGUUGAUGCUUUUUGUUCUUUUCACGUGCUUCUCACUCAAAUCCCAUGUCUCCUUCGGAGCUGACACCAUUUCUGCAAACCAAUCUCUCUCUGGUGAUCAAACGAUCGUUUCUAAAGGUGGGGUCUUUGCAUUUGGUUUCUUCAACCCAGCUCCUGGUAAGUCUUCAAACUAUUACAUAGGCAUGUGGUACAAUAAAGUCUCUGAAAGAACUAUAGUUUGGGGAGCCAACAGAGAACAGCCAGUUUCUGAUAGAUUCUCUUCGGUUUUAAGAAUCUCAGAUGGUAACUUAAUUCUUUUUAAUGAGUCCCAACUACCCAUUUGGUCCACAAAUUUGACCGCUACCAGCAGACGUUCUGUGGUAGCAGUUCUUUUAGAUGAAGGAAAUCUUGUUUUGAGAGAUUUGUCAAAUAAUUUGUCGGAGCAGUUAUGGCGAAGUUUUGAUCAUCCAGCUCAUACUUGGAUUCCCGGUAUGAAGCUGACGUUCAACAAGAGAAACAACGUCAGUCAACUUCUCACUUCAUGGAAGAAUAAAGAAAAUCCUGCACCGGGUCUCUUCUCCCUUGAGCUAGCACCAGAUGGAUCAAAUCAAAAUGUUAUUUUGUGGAAUAGGUCUGAGCAGUACUGGAGAAGUGGACCUUGGGAUGAUAAUGCAAAAAUUUUCACCUUGGUCCCUGAAAUGACACUAAAUUAUAUCUACAAUUUCAGCUAUGUGUCGAAUGAAAACGAGAGCUAUUUCACCUACAAUGUGAAAGAUAGCACUUAUACAUCUCGAUUCAUUAUGGAUGUUUCAGGACAGGUUAAGCAGAUGAAUUGGUUGCCUACCAACUCUUGGUUUCUAUUUUGGUCCCAACCAAGACAGCAAUGAGAGGUUUAUGCUUUUUGUGGUCAAUUAAGCACCUGCAAUGAGCAAACUGAGCGUUUUUGUUCUUGUUUGAAAGGUUUUCAACAAAAAUCGGUGAGUGACUGGAAUUUGGAAGAUUAUUCUGGUGGUUGUGUGAGGAAAACCCCGCUGCAGUGUGAAAAUAAUAGUCCUGCCAAUGGAAAAAGCGACCAAUUUUUCCAGUACAGUAACAUGAAAUUGCCUAAACAUCCACAGUCUGUGGCAGUAGGGGGUAUCAGGGAAUGUGAAACACACUGCUUGAACAACUGCUCUUGCACUGCUUAUGCUUACAAAGACAACGCUUGCUCGAUUUGGGUAGGAAGUUCGUGGGUCUGCAACAGCUACA
rnacentral:lncRNA from 1 species